UUUUAUUUGGUUAUUUGAAUUUUUAUAAAUUUCUGUUUAUUAAAAUGCCUAAUAAAAGAAAAAAGAAGAAAACGUCAUUUAAAGCUAAGCCUAAUCUAGAUGUAGUUAUUUUCCAAUAUCCCUUUGUUGUAGUAGUUAACAGUUUAAUAAAUCACAUGAAUGCUAUGAAUAUGCAGAUGCGUUCUAUGAACCGUUUGAUGAAUUCGUUUAUGCCCGAUCCCUUUAAUAUGUUGACCAAUUUUGAUGGCGGUUUUCAACAAAAUGCUUUAAUGGAACGUCAAAAUCCUCAUCCUAUGGGUGGUUUAUUUGGUUUUCCUGCCAUGCCCAAUAUGAAUCGUUUAUUAACUGCAGAUAUUGGCAAUAAUGGCGGCGCUGCAUUUUGUUCAAGUUCUGUCAUUACCAUGUCUUCUGGACCGGACGGACGUCCACAAAUCUAUCAAGCUACUAGCAGCACAAAAACUGGACCAGGUGGCAUACGCGAAACCCGCCGUACUGUACAGGACUCAGUUAAUGGUGUUAAAAAAAUGGCUAUCGGUCAUCAUAUCGGUGAUCGUGCUCAUAUUAUUGAAAAAGAACAAGAUUUACGUUCGGGUCAAUUGGAAGAACAUCAAGAAUUCAUUAAUUUAGACGAAGAUGAAGCCGAAGAUUUUGAUCGUGAGUUUACAACAAAAGCACGUGGUUCUGCUGGACGUAUGGGGGCUAGAGCUAUAUGUGCUGCCGGACCUGUAGCACCACCGCAACAAUCACUUACCAUCGAAGAAAUUGAGGAUGACGACGAUGAUGUUAUUGAAACGGUUCCUCAUGUCCAAAGACCUUCGUCAUCAUCUUCACAACAUCGUAGACAUAUGCCAGCUAUACCAGCACCAUCCCAACCACCAUCAACUCAAUUACAUCAAAAUAGCUCUACUUCUAAAUUGAGUUCGUCUACUACUUCCUCGGCUACCAAAAUGUCGCCGUCGUCGUCAUCUUCUACGUCGAGAAAUAAUAUAAAUGACCGGUCCUCGACAACAGCAAUGUCAACAUCAUCAACACCCACAAUUACGACAAGCGGCAGUAGCAGUGUCAAUAACAAUCCAUAUUUAUCGACUACUCCCAGACGUUCGACUUAUCGUGGCAGUCAUCAUUUGACAGGAGCCUCUGCGCGCAGACCUCUGCGUACGCCUCCAUCUUCGCCCUUAGCUACAACACCAACACUUCACAGUCACAGUACAACAUCUACGCCAAGAGAUUGGCGUUUAUAUAACCCACGUUUUUAUCGCAAGUAAACAGAAAUCAUAAAACGAAAACGAAAAUUAAAUGUUAAAGCAAAACCAACCAACAACGAUCGCGAAGAAUGAAACCCGAUAAUGUAUUGCAGAAAACCACAAGAAAAAAAAAUAUGAUAAUGUUUUGAAAUAAUGCGUUCAGCUUAAUAUUAUUACUACGACGUACAGCAAAAUACUACCACCAUCACUCCAUCCAUAUACUCCACACAUGUUUAUUAUUCAAGUAGUUUUAGUAUUUCAUCAUCGCAUAGAUAUCAAAUGAUAAAACAAAGGCAAAAGAUGCAUCAUAGAUAAUUUCUAACAAAGAAACGAAUACACGUUUUACCUUUUUCUGGUCCACAAAACGAUUUUUUCUUUCUCUUCUCCUGUCUGUCUCUCACCACCAUCUAGUGAAAAUUCUUAAACAACAACGUACCUGGGUCUACGUCGUACAUCCACAUCCUUAUAAUACCUCGGCAGCCAGACGUUCCCAUCAUCAUCACCACAGCCACCACCAUCAGCAUCGUCCUAAACAACAUGGAACAAAACCACAGUAUACCACAACUACUACUUCUGCUAACAGCAAU
rnacentral:misc_RNA from 1 species